rnacentral:miRNA from 1 species
UGGAGGUUGUUUGGCUUGAGCU